CGGGGUGUGGCGCAGUUGGCUAGCGCGCUACGUUCGGGACGUAGAGGUCGAAGGUUCGAGCCCUUUCACCCCGA
rnacentral:tRNA from 1 species